GAAACUCUGAUGCAGCGAUGCCGCGUGAGUGAAGAAGGCCUUUGGGUUGUAAAGCUCUUUCGUCGGGGAAGAAAAUGACUGUACCCGAAUAAGAAGGUCCGGCUAACUUCCUGCCAGCAGCCGCGGUAAUACGAAGGGACCUAGCGUAGUUCGGAAUUACUGGGCUUAAAGAGUUCGUAGGUGGUUGAAAAAGUUGGUGGUGAAAUCCCAGAGCUUAACUCUGGAACUGCCAUCAAAACUUUUCAGCUAGAGUUUGAUAGAGGAAAGCAAAAUUUCUAGUGUAGAGGUGAAAUUCGUAGAUAUUAGAAAGAAUACCAAUUGCGAAGGCAGCUUUCUGGAUCGUUACUGACACUGAGGAACGAAAGCAUGGGUAGCGAAGAGGAUUAGAUACCCUCGUAGUCCAUGCCGUAAACGAUGUGUGUUAGACGUUGGAAAUUUAUUUUCAGUGUCGCAGCGAAAGCGAUAAACACACCGCCUGGGGAGUACGACCGCAAGGUUAAAACUCAAAUGAAUUGACGGGGACCCGCACAAGUAGUGGAGCAUGUGGUUUAAUUCGAAGAUACGCGCAGAACCUUACCCACACUUGACAUGUUCGUCGCGACUUUAUGAGAUUAAAGUUUUCGGUUCGGUCGGACGAAACACAAGUGCUGCAUGGCUGUCGUCAGCUCGUGUCGUGAGAUGUUGGGUUAAGUCCCGCAA
rnacentral:rRNA from 1 species